GUAGGGUGCAAGCGUUAUCCGGAAUCAUUGGGCGUAAAGAGCUCGUAGGCGGCUCAGCAAGUCGGCUGUGAAAUCCCGAGGCUUAACCUCGGAACUGCAGUCGAUACUGCUGUGACUAGAGCCCGGUAGAGGAGAAUGGAAUUCCCGGUGUAGCGGUGAAAUGCGCAGAUAUCGGGAGGAACACCAGUAGCGAAGGCGGUUCUCUGGGCCGGUACUGACGCUGAGGAGCGAAAGCGUGGGGUAGCAAACAGGAUUAGAUACCCUGGUAGUCCACGCCGUAAACGUUGGACACUAGGUGUGGCGUUCCGACCAACGGGUGCCGUGCCGAAGCUAACGCAUUAAGUGUCCCCGCCUGGGGAGUACGGCCGCAAGGCUA
rnacentral:rRNA from 1 species